UCUUGCUAUUCCCAUCUAAAUGCUGGAGUGAGGAGUUAAAUUAUUCCAGAAGGCCCGCCAGGGUCUGAUUUGCCACUGUCUGCUUCCUCGGUGCCUUUGAAUGGGACCCUUGAUCCAAGGCUUUCAGAAACCAGCCGGUGCUGAUGGGGGUCCGUGACUUGGCGGUGGCGCCUGUUUGCUCCUUCUCUGUCUCGAGCAUGGUUUUCUAUCCUGCCGGGGAGGGCGAGAGCGCUGGGCAGAGGUGGCACCUGACCCGCUAGAACUCCGAUGUCACUGCUGUGGCUGUUACUCCCCUCGGCAAGAGUCAAGGCGCACGCAGGACGUGAACCCUGCACUGGACUGACCUCAUCUUUCCGAGGCUGUGAUAUUUCAGGAGAGUCUCAUUAUUGCUGAACAACUGAGACCACCAGGAGCCAGGUCCUAAGUGCAAAGAGACUGAUGGCUACAUCUCUCCUUCUGAAUGCCACCAGAUCAUUCCAGUCGCCUGCCUUUGUGGUGUCUCCAGACAAGGGCUGACAACCAUAGACGCGUCGCAGCCCUAAGGCUACUCAGAGAGAAGAACGUCUCUGGAGAAGAGUCCUUCCUUGCCGUCUGGAUCUCCCAGCUUCCCCCUGAAGAGUAGAGAUAGAAAGAGCCAGCAGAUCUUCAAAAGCGCUGUGAACCAAGGAAGCGAAAUAACAAAGAGCCCGAAGACGGCACAGUUCCAGCUUGUAGGCCCUGGAGACAGUCUGGAGUCCUCAGACGGACAGAAAGAAGACAUCAGAAGGGCAACCUGGGGUGCCUGUGGCUGCUGAGUACAGGAUAUGAAUCAGAGAGAAAGAAGUGAAAUCUCGUCCUAGGAAGAAAGGGAGCGAUUGGCAGAAGACUUUUCUCUGAUUCCUGAAUCUCAGCAGGAAGUUCCUGGAGCCAAGCAAGUCAGCAGUGUUGUGAAAUGAGUUAAAAUUGGGCUUCUGGCAUGUGUGAGCUGUCUGCCACUCUUAUUAAUAUGAGGUAGAACACCC